GCCACGGUUUUUUCGUCGCAGGCGAAAUGCCAAUAAAUGAGCGUGACAUCUACUCUAUUUUUCGCCGCAAGGGAGUCAUGGAAAAAUUCCAGCUCUUCCCAUCUAUCUUCAUGUUGAGAAAGCCAACAAUGGUAACUGCCACUAUUGAUUUCCAUCAAAGUCGAUUUAAGUGCUGAUAAAUGCGCGGUUGUUUGUUGCGAAGAGGGUUCACAUUUGGGGAUUUCAGAUCCGUCGAACAAAUUAGUGGCAAUACUAUUCUCGUUGGAGUUCUGGAUCAUAAGCGAUAAAAAGAAGCCUAUUUACGACAUUCUCCCAUAUCGCCACGCUUUCAAUUUCGCCCAACAAAUUGGCUACAACACUAUGCUCGCCGGAGAUUACAUAAGCAUUCGAUGCCAGGAAGCCAAUUUACAGCGUUCCCUUAUGUCGCCGUAGCAACAAUUAUCGAUCGAUUUCCACACUAGGUUAUUUGACGCUAGGAGUACAGGGAGGCAGAAGCGAUGAAGGUACUUCAUCUGGAGGUUGAGUGGAGUAAUCAGAGUCCAUGGCAACUUCAUUUCUCAAAGUCCAGGUUGCUGGUUCAAACUGUGGGUGUCGUUCUAUUGGAGGCAAAACCCGUCUCCCUAGUCCAUUAGCUAUUCCUGGCCUCUCCCUCUCUUUGACUGAAUCAUUUCUGCUGCAUGCACAUAAUUUAGUUGAACAAUAAGCUUAUAUAAACUCAACGUAUUGAAGUUGUGAGAUUGAAUAGCAGUAUACCAGAGUUUAACAACAAUACUUUAACAACAUCCUACUAGUUUAAACAUUGCUGGAAAUGUAUUUACUGAAGUUGUGGAAAACCAUAAAACCAUAAAAAGGCUACCAAGUUGAUGCUGUUGAUAGAAUGGUUAACUUUGAGAAUAUACACGCUGGGAUAAUUUCUGAUGGAGGAGCAAGAUGUGUGCAGUAGAAAUAUUUAGCAAAGUGAAUAUUCUAUCUAAUGAUUUAAAAAUAUGAUGGUUAAGCUUGACAUGUGGGGAAUACACGUGUAUGGAAAGCUUUUUGUAGUGGACCUUACAAUUUGAUAUUAUUGUAAGAUAUGUAGGGACAUUCACUUCUACCUUUUGCA